CCUACUAUUUCCUUCACAUAAAAUAUUAAUCAUUCGAAUCAAAAUAUCAACCAUGCACGUAAAUACAAUCCAUAUUAUAAUCAUACCACAAUAAAUUAAUAAAUGAAUAAAUAAAAAUAUAUUUUUACUUUUACUGGACGAGUGGCUCGGUAGAACCCUAAACCCCAAAAUCUAGUAGCCAUUCGGCUCUCUUAAUCCAAUAAGACUGGCGCCCCGAGAGCAAUGCUCGACCAGGGACCUUACCUCCAGUCUGGUCACUUAAGUAUCCAAAUAAGAAAUCUAGUAGCCAUUCGGCUCUCUUAAUCCAAUAAGACUGGCGCCCCGAGAGCAAUGCUCAACCAGGGACCUUACCUCCAGUCUGGUCACUUAAGUAUCCAAAUAAGAAAUCUAGUAGCCAUUCGGCUCU
rnacentral:lncRNA from 1 species